GAUGAACGCUGGCGGCGUGCCUAAUACAUGCAAGUCGAGCGAACAGACGAGGAGCUUGCUCCUCUGACGUUAGCGGCGGACGGGUGAGUAACACGUGGAUAACCUACCUAUAAGACUGGGAUAACUUCGGGAAACCGGAGCUAAUACCGGAUAAUAUAUUGAACCGCAUGGUUCAAUAGUGAAAGACGGUUUUGCUGUCACUUAUAGAUGGAUCCGCGCCGCAUUAGCUAGUUGGUAAGGUAACGGCUUACCAAGGCAACGAUGCGUAGCCGACCUGAGAGGGUGAUCGGCCACACUGGAACUUCGCCACGUUCCUGACUCCUACGGUAGGCAGCAGUAUGGAAUCUUCCGCAAUGGGCGAAAGCCUGACGGAGCAACGCCGCGUGAGUGAUGAAGGUCUUCGGAUCGUAAAACUCUGUUAUUAGGGAAGAACAAAUGUGUAAGUAACUAUGCACGUCUUGACGGUACCUAAUCAGAAAGCCACGGCUAACUACGUG
rnacentral:rRNA from 1 species